rnacentral:rRNA from 1 species
AGAGUUUGAUCCUGGCUCAGAUUGAACGCUGGCGGCAGGCCUAACACAUGCAAGUCGAGCGGCAGCACAGAGAAACUUGUUUCUCGGGUGGCGAGCGGCGGACGGGUGAGUAAUGCCUGGGAAAUUGCCCUGAUGUGGGGGAUAACCAUUGGAAACGAUGGCUAAUACCGCAUGAUGCCUACGGGCCAAAGAGGGGGACCUUCGGGCCUCUCGCGUCAGGAUAUGCCCAGGUGGGAUUAGCUAGUUGGUGAGGUAAGGGCUCACCAAGGCGACGAUCCCUAGCUGGUCUGAGAGGAUGAUCAGCCACACUGGAACUGAGACACGGUCCAGACUCCUACGGGAGGCAGCAGUGGGGAAUAUUGCACAAUGGGCGCAAGCCUGAUGCAGCCAUGCCGCGUGUGUGAAGAAGGCCUUCGGGUUGUAAAGCACUUUCAGUUGUGAGGAAGGUGGUGUCGUUAAUAGCGGCAUCAUUUGACGUUAGCAACAGAAGAAGCACCGGCUAACUCCGUGCCAGCAGCCGCGGUAAUACGGAGGGUGCGAGCGUUAAUCGGAAUUACUGGGCGUAAAGCGCAUGCAGGUGGUUUGUUAAGUCAGAUGUGAAAGCCCGGGGCUCAACCUCGGAACUGCAUUUGAAACUGGCAGACUAGAGUACUGUAGAGGGGGGUAGAAUUUCACGUGUAGCGGUGAAAUGCGUAGAGAUCUGAAGGAAUACCGGUGGCGAAGGCGGCCCCCUGGACAGAUACUGACACUCAGAUGCGAAAGCGUG